CUACUUACUACUUCGUAGAAUGCAAUUAGGUUAGUUUAACAUGACCUAUGUUUCAUAAAAUCAUGCUGAUUAUUGCUAAUAACACAGUUCUUCCCAAUGAAUUCCUUAAUAUUAUCCCUUAAUAGCCCUUCAAAUAUUUUCCCAGUUACAGAAGUUAAGUUUACAGGUCUAUAAUUUCCAGGCAAGGAUUUUGAACCCUUUUUAAAUAUAGGAACAACAUCUG